CUUCAUUCAUGGACAUAGACUCAUUGGUUUCUGUGUUCAGGGUGAGACAGGAGAGCCUGGUUUACCUGGAGAUACAGGAAUUAAAGGUGAGAAGGGCUUUAGAGGUUUCCCUGGUCGAAUAGGGAGUCCAGGACUGGAUGAGAACAGGGUGAUUCUGGGGACCCUGGCUGGCCUGGCAUUCCAGGACUAAACGGUAUCCCAGGACGAAAGGUGAGUCGAAACACAAACAGAUAUUGAUAACCUCAUCAUCAUUGUAAGGUUAAGUAUAGGAUUAAUUGUUAUUGUUAAUGUUUAGGGAGAAAAAGGUGAUAGUGAUCUGAACGGUCUUGAUGGAGCUCCUGGACAAAAAGGAGGGAAGGGCUCGACUGGUUUCCCAGGUUUCACAGGGUUUUAAGGGAUCUCCUGGUGCACCAGGAGCUAAUGGGGCUCCGGGUCGGCCUGGUCCGGUUGGACCUAAAGGUGAAAUGGGACCAAAGGGAGAGAAGGGGAGGAGAGGCAGAGGAAAGGCCUGUCAACGGGGACCUCCUGGAAUUCCUGGCCUCAGAGACCUGGAUGUAAUAAGGCAUCUACACACUGUAUCCUCCACUCUAUCAGGACUUUAUCCAUUCACAAACAUGCUCAGUCAGUUAUACAUAUCCUUUAUGCAGGGGGAAAUGGGAACCUCGGCAUGAAAGGAGAAAAAGGGGAGCCAGGACUUGGUGUAUGUUGACAAUGCCCUCUUUUAUGAUAUAUUUAUCAUUACUGAUAUGUGAUUAAAUACUUAUUAAACAAUUUUCAUUUGUUCAGGUGGAUCUUGUGACAAAGGAGGUGGUUGAAAAGUGUGGUGAGU
rnacentral:lncRNA from 1 species